GCAUCUGAUGAUUUAACAUUCUUCACUUUGACCUGACUUGACGUGUGACGAUAAACUUCCUUCUGAGC